GGCUCAGGAUGAACGCUGGCGGCGUGCUUAACACAUGCAAGUCGAACGAUGAUGCCCAGCUUGCUGGGUGGAUUAGUGGCGAACGGGUGAGUAACACGUGAGCAACCUGCCCCUGACUCUGGGAUAAGCGCUGGAAACGGCGUCUAAUACUGGAUACGAGUAGCGAUCGCAUGGUCAGCUACUGGAAAGAUUUUUUGGUUGGGGAUGGGCUCGCGGCCUAUCAGCUUGUUGGUGAGGUAAUGGCUCACCAAGGCGUCGACGGGUAGCCGGCCUGAGAGGGUGACCGGCCACACUGGGACUGAGACACGGCCCAGACUCCUACGGGAGGCAGCAGUGGGGAAUAUUGCACAAUGGGCGGAAGCCUGAUGCAGCAACGCCGCGUGAGGGAUGACGGCCUUCGGGUUGUAAACCUCUUUUAGCAGGGAAGAAGCGAGAGUGACGGUACCUGCAGAAAAAGCGCCGGCUAACUACGUGCCAGCAGCCGCGGUAAUACGUAGGGCGCAAGCGUUAUCCGGAAUUAUUGGGCGUAAAGAGCUCGUAGGCGGUUUGUCGCGUCUGCUGUGAAAUCCCGAGGCUCAACCUCGGGCCUGCAGUGGGUACGGGCAGACUAGAGUGCGGUAGGGGAGAUUGGAAUUCCUGGUGUAGCGGUGGAAUGCGCAGAUAUCAGGAGGAACACCGAUGGCGAAGGCAGAUCUCUGGGCCGUAACUGACGCUGAGGAGCGAAAGGGUGGGGAGCAAACAGGCUUAGAUACCCUGGUAGUCCACCCCGUAAACGUUGGGAACUAGUUGUGGGGUCCAUUCCACGGAUUCCGUGACGCAGCUAACGCAUUAAG
rnacentral:rRNA from 1 species